GUCUCGUGUUAACGUUAUUUUACUUUAUUUCUCUUAGUUUAUGUUUAUUGAAUAAUAACACCAGUACAUCGAGCUGUUGAUAACUACGUCAUACUUUUCGCACUUUCACCACGAUUACAUCAUAUUUACCGCGAUGGGUAAUUGUUGCGCAGCCUGCAUAGUGCAAUGCGUGGGCGGUUUCGUGGUGUACACCGGCAAGGGCCUAUGGCUGUUGGCGAAGCUGGGUUUUAUAGCCACGGGCGUGGUAGCCGGAAGCCUGGCGGCACUUGCGAUGUCGUUCUUCGGCAAUGUGGAGGCGGGUAGUGUGAUAGCGGCCGCUACGUCCAUCGGUAUGAAGAUGUAGCAGAGUCUAUGCAGAUCCUAAUGCUGUUGUCAACUAAUCUGCGCUCACAAAAAAUGAAGACUAAUGUAGGCCUAUUUUAACUAACUUAAAUUUAUGUCAGCUAUAGAUUUAAGCUCAUUUUAAUAUUGUACUUUAUUAAGUUUAUUAACUUGUAUUUAAAUGUGAAAUAUAUUUUCUUCAUUCUC